GCAUGUGCUGUGAGCUCGAUGAGUAGGGCGGGACACGUGGUAUCCUGUCUGAAUAUGGGGGGACCAUCCUCCAAGGCUAAAUACUCCUGACUGACCGAUAGUGAACCAGUACCGUGAGGGAAAGGCGAAAAGAACCCCGGCGAGGGGAGUGAAAAAGAACCUGAAACCGUGUACGUACAAGCAGUGGGAGCACAGGUUUACCUGUGUGACUGCGUACCUUUUGUAUAAUGGGUCAGCGACUUAUAUUCUGUAGCAAGGUUAACCGUAUAGGGGAGCCGUAGGGAAACCGAGUCUUAACCGGGCGUUAAGUUGCAGGGUAUAGACCCGAAACCCGGUGAUCUAGCCAUGGGCAGGUUGAAGGUUGGGUAACACUAACUGGAGGACCGAACCGACUAAUGUUGAAAAAUUAGCGGAUGACCUGUGGCUGGGGGUGAAAGGCCAAUCAAACCGGGAGAUAGCUGGUUCUCCCCGAAAGCUAUUUAGGUAGCGCCUCGUGAAUUCAUCUCCGGGGGUAGAGCACUGUUUCGGCUAGGGGGCCAUCCCGGCUUACCAACCCGAUGCAAACUGCGAAUACCGGAGAAUGUUAUCACGGGAGACACACGGCGGGUGCUAACGUCCGUCGUGAAGAGGGAAACAACCCAGACCGCCAGCUAAGGUCCCAAAGUCAUGGUUAAGUGGGAAACGAUGUGGGAAGGCACAGACAGCCAGGAUGUUGGCUUAGAAGCAGCCAUCAUUUAAAGAAAGCGUAAUAGCUCACUGGUCGAGUCGGCCUGCGCGGAAGAUGUAACGGGGCUAAACCAUGCACCGAAGCUGCGGCAGCGACGUUUAUGCGUUGUUGGGUAGGGGAGCGUUCUGUAAGCCUGCGAAGGUGGCCUGUGAGGGUUGCUGGAGGUAUCAGAAGUGCGAAUGCUGACAUAAGUAACGAUAAAGCGGGUGAAAAGCCCGCUCGCCGGAAGACCAAGGGUUCCUGUCCAACGUUAAUCGGGGCAGGGUGAGUCGACCCCUAAGGCGAGGCCGAAAGGCGUAGUCGAUGGGAAACGGGUUAAUAUUCCCGUACUUGGUGUUACUGCGAAGGGGGGACGGAGAAGGCUAUGUUGGCCGGGCGACGGUUGUCCCGGUUUAAGCGUGUAGGCUGGUUUUCCAGGCAAAUCCGGAAAAUCAAGGCUGAGGCGUGACGACGAGGCACUACGGUGCUGAAGCAACAAAUGCCCUGCUUCCAGGAAAAGCCUCUAAGCAUCAGGUAACAUCAAAUCGUACCCCAAACCGACACAGGUGGUCAGGUAGAGAAUACCAAGGCGCUUGAGAGAACUCGGGUGAAGGAACUAGGCAAAAUGGUGCCGUAACUUCGGGAGAAGGCACGCUGACACGUAGGUGAAGUGAUUUACUCA
rnacentral:rRNA from 1 species